rnacentral:lncRNA from 1 species
GUGUGUGGGACGCCGCCUUAGCGUGGUUUGACGAGCAGUGCCAUGUCUGCACCCAGGAUUCAAACCAACGAAACACUGGGCUGCUUGCAGCGGAGCACGCGAACCCAACCACUCGGCCACAGGGCCAGCCCCCAGAAAUGCAACUGAUUUUUGGUGGAGAGUCUAAAGGAAGAGCUCACUCUGCCAUGAUGCUGAUGUCACCUGCUGAUUCUUUUCUUUUGAAGAUUAUUCAGCCUCUUGCUUCUCCCUCCACUUCUUCCAACCUUUUAGACAUUUCAUGGCUUGAGAGAAUCACCAUAAGAAGAUGGAGAUGAUGGGAAGCACACUGAGUUGUAGCAGCUACGUCUCUUACCAGUUCUGUGACUUGGGCAAAUUCACUUGAGCUUCCUGAACCUUAGUUUCUUUAGCCAUAAAAUGGGAUCAUAAUUAUACUUAGUGACCUGAUAUUGCAUGUGAAGCAGCUGGGCCAGGGCCUGUUUGAUAGUAAAAGCUGCAUAAAUGUGACGUUGUCAUCAUUAUCUCCAUGGCCUGGCUGACAGGACCACAAGAAAGGAAAAGAGACUGAAAUCUUUUAUAUUCUUCUUAACUCUCUGGAAAAAGGAUUUAACACUCUGGUGAAAGAGCAUAAAAUUAAUAUGACUGGUUGGUCAAAAUGAGA